GACGAACGCUGGCGGCGUGCUUAACACAUGCAAGUCGAACGGUGAAGCGCCUUCCUUUUUGGUGGGUGUGGAUGAGUGGCGAACGGGUGAGUAACACGUGAGUAACCUGCCCCCUUCUUCUGGAUAACCGCAUGAAAGUGUGGCUAAUACGGGAUAUUCUGGGUCUGUCGCAUGAUGGGUCUGGGAAAGAUAUUGUUUCGGUGGGGGAUGGGCUCGCGGCCUAUCAGCUUGUUGGUGGGGUGAUGGCCUACCAAGGCGGUGACGGGUAGCCGGCCUGAGAGGGUGGACGGUCACACUGGGACUGAGACACGGCCCAGACUCCUACGGGAGGCAGCAGUGGGGAAUAUUGCACAAUGGGCGCAAGCAUGAUGCAGCGACGCCGCGUGAGGGAUGGAGGCCUUCGGGUUGUGAACCUCUUUAGCCAGUGAAGCAGGCCUGCCUCGUUUGUGGGUGGGUUGACGGUAGCUGGAUAAGAAGCGCCGGCUAACUACGUG
rnacentral:rRNA from 1 species